CGUCCAGACUCCUACGGGAGGCAGCAGUGGGGGAUAUUGCACAAUGGGGGAAACCCUGAUGCAGCGACGCCGCGUGAGUGAAGAAGUCAUUCGUUACGUAAAGCUCUAUCAGCAGGGAAGAAAAUGACGGUACCUGACUAAGAAGCCCCGGCUAACUACGUGCCAGCAGCCGCGGUAAUACGUAGGGGGCAAGCGUUAUCCGGAAUUACUGGGUGUAAAGGGAGCGCAGACGGCAGUGCAAGUCUGGAGUGAAAGCCCGUGGCUUAACCACGGGACUGCUCUGGAAACUGUGCAGCUAGAGUGCAGGAGAGGCAGGCGGAAUUCCUAGUGUAGCGGUGAAAUGCGUAGAUAUUAGGAGGAACACCGGUGGCGAAGGCGGCUUACUGGACUGUAACUGACGUUGAGGCUCGAAAGCGUGGGGAGCAAACAGGAUUAGAUACCCCGGUAA
rnacentral:rRNA from 1 species